GCGCGAAAACUUUACAAUGCUGGAAACAGCGAUAAGGGGACCUCGAGUGCCAGGUUACAAAUCUGGCUGUCGUGAUGCCUAAAAAGCAUUGCAUAGCAAGGGCCGGGCAAGACCGGUGCCAGCCGCCGCGGUAACACCGGCGGCUCGAGUGGUAACCGUUAUUAUUGGGUCUAAAGGGUCUGUAGCCGGCCGGGUAAGUCUCUUGGGAAAUCUGGCAGCUUAACUGUCAGGCUUUCAGGAGAUACUGCUUGGCUCGAGGCCGGGAGAGGUGAGAGGUACUUCAGGGGUAGGGGUGAAAUCUUGUAAUCCUUGAAGGACCACCAGUGGCGAAGGCGUCUCACCAGAACGGACCUGACGGCAAGGGACGAAAGCUAGGGGCACGAACCGGAUUAGAUACCCGGGUAGUCCUAGCCGUAAACGAUACUCGCUAGGUGUCGGCCACGGUGCGACCGUUGUCGGUGCCGUAGGGAAGCCGUGAAGCGAGCCACCUGGGAAGUACGGCCGCAAGGCUGAAACUUAAAGGAAUUGG
rnacentral:rRNA from 1 species